GAAAGAUUGUUAUCAUCUAUUGCAAGAAGUGACUACUCGUUUGCUCUGAACGGGACUUUGAUCCUAAAGAUAUUGGUCCAUUAUGGGAGCGCUCAAAUAAUUGGGAAAGUAGUAGCCUGCUAUUGGCCAUCGUUAGCACAGUAUAGCGCUACUUUAUCAACUCUGCAAAUUAAUUAUUUUAUUUAAUAAAUUUAACUAUGUCUUCACAAGCAAUUGAAAAAAAAAUGCAAAAAUGUAUUGCUUCGAUCAACUCAACCUCAUCAUUGGACUACAAAAUAGGAAAAAACCAGUGCUUUCUACCUAUUAGACUGUGGGCGCUAUUUCGGAUUAAAUUAAAAUCGUGUUCUUUACUAUUACCAACGACCUUGGGUAAGAUGGCAAGCCCUUCGGGCAAAUAUAUCAAAUUUAAUCCUACAAAGCAAAAAAUUUAAUUUUUAUUGUUAUAAUUGUUACAGAUUAACAAAUUGUGCUUACUUAAUCAAUUUACGUUUUAUAUUAUUAUAUUACUUUGUUUUUAUUAUUACUUGUAUUUACCUAAUCAAUAUUACUUUUUUACAAAA